rnacentral:tRNA from 1 species
GCCGUGGCUCAGUGGAAGAGCCUCCGGCACGCGGAAGGUCCUCGGUUCGGUCCCUGGCAGCUGCA